GAUCUGCUGUUAGCAGUUGCAAGAAGCUAUAUAUGUGAUCCCCAGCAGUCACACAGCUGCUACAUCAUUGUGGCCUGAUUACUAAUGUGUCAUUUGUGAAGGAGUGACUUGGCUUCAGAGAAAUGAUUAUCAGAACCCGCCCAUUUUUUUUUGGCCUUCCACCGCUGGGAAUGACAGCUCUUAUUUUCAUUUUUCAAUAUCUUUUCUUUAUUCUCAGUGAAGCUCUUGUCUGCCUAGAAGCUCUAUUUCCUCUGCUUUUGUUUUUUCAACUGGCAUCUGUAAGAUCAGAUGGAGAUAUUUUGUCAUUUGCAUAAUUUAGAAACUUGUCCCUUGCCUGUGACCCUGAAUAAAAACGGAUGUCUUAAAAUUC
rnacentral:lncRNA from 1 species